AUGAAGUUUGCUGUCAAAGCUCUAUCAUCCACAGAAUCACCAUGGCUAGACUGGCUAGAACUACAACAUCCCAAUGCCCUAGUUUCUUCGGGAACCCAAACAUCCUUUCUAUGCCGCACGAUUUCGCAACAAAUCCCAACCCUACAAUCAAUCUCCUUCGUUUUGACAAACAGUGGAACACAUACAUAUUUCUGGUUAGAUACCUGGCUCACCCCAAAACCCCUAGCUACCACCUACCCACACCUCUUCUCACACUCAACACAAAAGCUGGUAAAAGUGGCUAACAUCUUGCGUUUCGGCAUUGAAACAAACCUCCGUAAUCGUCUCUCUCUCACAGCAGAAACAGAGCUAGUUUCGCUUUUGGCUGUUUUGCAGGACCUCGUGCCGUCGCUAGAAGAAGGUCAACGGUUCCUCCUUCGGGGUCAUGCCUUCUCCACCAAGCAGGCCUACGGCACCAUCAUGGCUAGGCCAGAAACGGACCUCAAUGCUCCACUCAUCUGGAACACCAAGGCUCCUCGUAAGACAAAAAUCUUCUCUUGGCUUCUUUUCAAAGAUCGCCUAAGCACCGCUGUCAAUCUUGCCCACAAGAAUAUAAUCUCCUCCGACUUAUGCACACGGUGUGCUAUGCUACCCGAAGACUCCACUCACCUCUUCAUCACAUGCCCCCUUGCCAACAGAAUUUGGCAACGAAUGGGUGUCCUACCACACGAAGUUGACCUUAAUGAACUUUGCGAUGCUCCACUACCUCAACACCUGCCCAAAAAUGCAUGGCCCCUAGUCCUCCUCGCGCUACUCUCAAAUAUUUGGGCAGCGCGAAAUGACAUGCUCUUUAGGAAUGUCGAUCAAUGUUCUGUAAUAACAAUUAGGAACAUUCUAUCGGACUUGGAUCUCUGGUCACACCGUCUUGUUGAUACGGGUGACAAGGAGGACGUUUCCUCAUGA
rnacentral:rRNA from 1 species